GACGAACGCUGGCGGCGUGCUUAACACAUGCAAGUCGAACGGAAAGGCCCUGCUUGCAGGGUACUCGAGUGGCGAACGGGUGAGUAACACGUGGGUGAUCUGCCCUGCACUUCGGGAUAAGCCUGGGAAACUGGGUCUAAUACCGGAUAGGAGCCAUUUUUAGUGUGAUGGUUGGAAAGUUUUUUCGGUGUAGGAUGAGCUCGCGGCCUAUCAGCUUGUUGGUGGGGUAAUGGCCUACCAAGGCGGCGACGGGUAGCCGGCCUGAGGGGGUGGACGGCCACUGUGGGGCUGGGACCCGGCCCAGGCCCCCGCGGGGGGGCGGGGGGGGGAUAUUGGCAAAAGGGGGGCGAGCCGGGUGGGGGGCCCCCGGGGGGGGGGGGGCGGCCUUGGGGUUUUAAACCCCUUUCCGAGGGGAAAAAGUUUUUUGUGACGGUAAUUAGAAAAGAAGCACCGGCUAACUACGUG
rnacentral:rRNA from 1 species